rnacentral:misc_RNA from 1 species
GAUGAAGAACGUAGCGAAAUGCGAUAAGUAAUGUGAAUUGCAGAAUUCAGUGAAUCAUCGAAUCUUUGAACGCAUCUUGCGCUCCUUGGUAUUCUGAGGAGCAUGCCUGUUUGAGUGUCAUUAAAUUCUCAACUACACUGACUUUGAAUUGGUGUGGCUUGGAUUUGGGGGUAAAAUUGUUGUGGGCUUUUUGUAUAGUCUGCUCCCCUGAAAUUGAUUAGCGGUACCUUUGUGGAACUGUCUACAGGUGUGAUAAUUAUCUACAUCUUAGACAUCUGCUGGAAUGCUGCUCUCUAAACCUUACUUGUAUUGACAAUCUUGACCUCAAAUCAGGUAGGACUACCCGCUGAACUUAAGCAUAUCAAUAAGCGGAGGA